rfam:Drosophila sechellia strain Rob3c scaffold_4675 genomic scaffold, whole genome shotgun sequence.
AAAGCAUUGUGAUGGCCCUAGCGGGUGUUGACACAAUGUGAUUUCUGCCCAGUGCUCUGAAUGUCAAAGUGAAGAAAUUCAAGUAAGCGCGGGUCAACGGCGGGAGUAACUAUGACUCUCUUAAGGUUACUUAGAAACCUACCCAGCGAAAUUGGUGCCAGAGUCGGAAAUGCCAUUACUAACGCGGCCGCGUUUGCAGAUGAUUUGGUACUAUUUGCUGAAACUCGAAUGGGACUUCAAGUAUUGUUGGACAGAACGUUGGAUUUUCUAUCUCUCGUCGGCCUCAAACUUAAUGCCGACAAAUGUUUUACCGUUGGCAUUAAGGGCCAGCCGAAACAGAAGUGUACCGUGCUAGAGGCACAGAGCUUUUACGUAGGCUCAAGGGAGAUUCCAUCAUUGAAGCGAACGGACGAGUGGAAGUACUUAGGCAUCAACUUCACUGCAACCGGGAGGGUUCGAUGCAAUCCGGCCGAGGACAUUGGUCCGAAGCUACAAAGAUUGACAAAGGCCCCCCUCAAACCACAACAGAGGAUGUUCGCCCUUAGGACUGUCCUUAUCCCACAGCUCUAUCACAAGUUAGCCCUUGGGAGUGUGGCGAUAGGCAUCCUACGAAAAACUGACAAACUAAUACGAUACUAUGUGCGAAGAUGGCUAAAUCUUCCGCUGGAUAUACCGAUAGCAUUCAUUCACGCACCCCCAAAAAGUGGAGGUCUCGGAAUUCCAUCACUUAGAUGGGUAGCUCCAAUGUUAAGGCUAAGACGUUUGAGUAAUAUUAAAUGGCCUCACCUCACGCAAAACGAGGUAGCCCAGCUCUUUCCUCGAAGCAGAAAAACAACGAGCCCGAGAUAGAUUAUUAGCAGAACAAAAAUGAAUUGUUAUCGCGUCCGGCAAUAGAAAAAUAUUGGGCGAACAAAUUGUACCUCUCAGUUGAUGGUAGCGGACUCCGUGAAGCAGGCCAUUGGGGCCCGCAACACGGGUGGGUUAAUCAACCCACGCGUUUACUAACAGGAAAGGAAUAUAUAGACGGUAUUCGUCUGCGGAUAAAUGCCCUACCCACGAAGUCUCGUACUACAAGGGGAAGGCACGAAUUGGAACGACAGUGUCGUGCAGGAUGUGACGCUCCCGAAACAACAAACCAUAUUAUGCAAAAAUGUUACCGAUCGCAUGGGAGGCGCAUAGCUAGACACAACUGCGUAGUAAAUCGAAUCAAGCGGGGACUUGAGGAGAGAGGCUGCGUAGUCAUUGUUGAACCAAGUCUGCAGUGCGAAUCCGGUCUUAAUAAACCAGACCUGGUGGCACUACGACAAAAUCACAUUGAUGUGAUCGACAUACAAAUUGUGACAGACGGACACUCUAUGGAUGAUGCACACCAGCGCAAAAUCAAUAGAUACGACAGACCGGACAUACGAACUGAGUUGCGUCGCAGAUUCGAAGCCGCAGGUGACAUUGAAUUCCAUUCUGCCACCCUGAACUGGAGGGGGAUCUGGAGUGGUCAAUCCGUUAAAAGAUUGAUAGCGAAGGGUCUCCUCAGCAAAUAUGAUAGUCAUAUCAUUAGCGUCCAGGUUAUGAGAGGCAGUCUCGGUUGUUUUAAACAGUUCAUGUACCUGAGCGGGUUUUCCCGAGAUUGGACUUAGCUAAAACGUUUGGUUCAAAACAUUUGCUUGCUGUCUUGGCAUAACAUCAAUAAAGGCAUAAACAUCGCAAAUAAUGGUAAUAUAUAAAUUGGCUAUGAGGAUGGUUUUAGUACGUAGGCGUUGCGGAACUUCGGUUCAGAUAGAGCAAUGAAUCGUGCAUGCUAGGAAACUGAAGUGUUGACAGACCUAGUAUCUUUCGAUAGAUUUCCAUACCUCCGCGAUCAAAAAAAAAAAAAAAAAAAAAUAGCCAAAUGCCUCGUCAUCUAAUUAGUGACGCGCAUGAAUGGAUUAACGAGAUUCCUACUGUCCCUAUCUACUAUCUAGCGAAACCACAGCCAAGGGAACGGGCUUGGAAUAAUUAGCGGGGAAAGAAGACCCUUUUGAGCUUGACUCUAAUCUGGCAGUGUAAGGAGACAUAAGAGGUGUAGAAUAAGUGGGAGAUAUUAGACCUCGGUUUGGUAUCGUCAAUGAAAUACCACUACUCUUAUUGUUUCCUUACUUACUUGAUUAAAUGGAGCGUGUAUCAUUUCCUAGCCAUUAUACGGAUAUAUUUGAAUUCCCACCACAA